CACAACAUCACAUCAGUAUCCCAUACACACCUGCACAACGUCAGACCAAUGUCUCCUGAACAUCAGUGCAAUAUCAGAUCAAUGUCCGCCCAACAUCAGCAAAGCAUCGGAUGAACCUUACAUCAACAUCAGCACAACAUCAAAUCAAAGUUCUGUUAAUUCCUCAUUUCAGUGACUAGAAUGAACACAAAAGCAGUUAGAGGUUUCUACUGUUGUUCUGUACCUCCUCUAGGCCUGUGAUGGAGUAGGCAUGUCCUUUCACCAAACCUGUGGUCGUGCGUGCCUCAGAUUCUGCAGAGCUGGUGAUCUGGAGAGAAACAGAUGCUGGGCCUUCUCCAGAAGGGCGCUCCAGAACUCGUCGUUAUCAGCCGAGUGGACAAACACCAGCCGGUUUCGUACCGCGGGCAGCCUGUCAUCCACAACCACGUCCAGCCACUGGUUGUGCUGCCAGAACUACAAAAGUCUGGCCUCUGCACCAAUGGGAAGGAUGAGGAUAAGUAAUGUGUCCUUUUUGGGAGAAAUGGGAAUGGCAAACAAGUAAAAACCAGCUAUAUAGCAUCCCUUCCAAGCAUAGGACUGGCAUUCCUGUCGCAGCUCCUCAAAUGUUUUGCCAUUUGACUGACAGCUGAUCACCUUCUUAGGUUGGCCUCCACCGGA